AUGCCGGACGUGGUAAAUGUUGCGGAACAAGUAGAAGUUAUAACCACACCUUAUCAGAGAGACCCCGAUAAACAUUGUCAAAUUUGGGAGCUCCCACCGGACAAGCAAGAUGACACUCGGCAUUUUUAUAUAUCUAAGGGAGCAUAUCGACCGGAGUUGGAAGAAUACCCAUUUGAUGAAAAUUCUAAACACCGUCGUCGAUUUCAAAAAGAUUGGUACACAAAUUUCUGGUGGCUUGAGUAUUCAAUACACAAUGAUAGCGCAUAUUAUUUGACGUGCUUUCUCUUCUCAAAAAAACCUGUUGGGAGAUGUUGGUCUGAUACAUUCUUGGUCAAGGGUUUUAGAAACUGGAAAAAGGUUAACGAUGGAAAAGUGUGUGCAUUUUUAACUCAUGUUGGGGGCCCGGACUCUGCUCACAACUAUUCCACUCGGUGCUAUGAAGAUCUCAAGACCAGUAUGGCUCAUAUCGACAAGGUGAUGGAAAAGCAAAAUGAGAAAUAAGCUACUGAUGCGAUAUUGAGGCUUAAGACUACCAUCGAUGCCAUGAGGUAA
rnacentral:rRNA from 1 species